rnacentral:tRNA from 1 species
GAGGAUUUAGCUUAAUUAAAGCGUUUGAUUUGCAUUCAAUUGAUGUAAGAUAUAGUCUUGCAGUCCUUA